CGCGCGCGGCUCCGGGGGGCUAGACGGAGCGACGGCGGGGGAGGCGCUUCCGCCUCAUACCAUGGGGGACCCGCGCGGUCAGCGCACUUCCGCUCGGGGCGGAUUCUGGGGCUGCGGGGAGAGUAGGACGGAAGUGGGUACCCUCGUGGGCAUCGCGUUUAGCCAAGUUAAGCUAGGGUGGGUACUGACUGUUGACCUAGGGUCAGACAUAUGUCACACAUAUGGCAGAGGCGGAAUUCAACUUGGAUGUACCUCUCCCUAGGGCGUGCGAUGGCCACCUCAUGUCUAAGCUGGAGCUAAGAUGUGGCUGACUUUGAACCUACAGAGAUCUGCCUACUUCUACCUCCUCAGUGCUAGAAUUAAAUACGUGUGCCACCA
rnacentral:lncRNA from 1 species